AGAGAUCCAGAACUAGAUUCUAUAACAAAAAUGGCUCUACGGAUGUCUUCUCCGAAAUUCUUGUUUAGAUCUUAAAACUUAUCCUUAGAAUGUUGCAAACUAUGGAUCAGACACAUGCAAACUAUUUUUAACGGAACAAAACUUCAUUAGGCCUACCGAUGAACAAUAAUGUUCCAGAUGACGCUCCAAGCCAAUUGGAUUCGCCUGAGCUUUUUGUUACGUCAUCAACCAGCCUCGUUAUAGCGGGCUACGACGUCCAUACCCUGAGCACUAUCUUAGCCCUGCUGGCCAUCGCCGCCAUCUAUCUCUACAACGUCAACCUGGUGGUGCUGGGCGCCAUGAUACUGGUCAUCGUAGUGAAGUGCUACAUCCAAAAGUACCUCCAACCAACACGGCACCUUAGUGACUUGCCGGACAUUCGAUGACAAGCGAUGGUCUUCGUGGUCCAGCGCUGUGUCCAGAGCUACCUUCAGCGCCCUUGCACCCCCCCCCCCACCCCAAUUCCCCUAAAUCAUGAAGAUGCCGCAGAAACCUAACGGUCAAUUGAUUUUAACUCUUAAUACGCAUGGUUGUGAAUAGGGUCAUUUGUUUCAUUCAGAUGUAGGCUACAUCUGGUCUCAGCAUGACCCAGUUACAUAGAAGCCGUACAACGACAUCACAAACACACACCCACACAUGUACACAAACACCCGGCUUUGGUGGAAUCGUGGUUGGAUAUCACAUCUUGUGUAUGUCUCGCACACACGCUUUGGCGCAGUACCCCAGAUAACGUUAGAUGGCCAACAAAUAAAGUCGAGGAUCGUUAGAAUGUUCCCGAAGAUUCCCAAUAAGGCGAAGACGAGGGAGGACCAAGUGUCGACUACAGAGGUGAAGGUCGUUAACACAUCGUCUGACACAAGAAUCUGAUCAAAGGUCGUCCUAACUGAAGUUACAUUUACCAAGUAAAGGCAUGUAUGGUAUUGCCUGGUACCGAGAUGCACAGAAGGACCUUUUUGGCACUAAGGCAGCAACGGCAGCAUGUCCAUGAUGUCUCAAGCAGCUUGUAGGCCACCCCCAGAGCGAAAUCUAACAAUGUUUUUGCUCUUAAAGAUCUUCGACACAUGAAACAUAUUUAAAAACAUCUGCUAAGUCAA